CAUUUGGCUGAAACCUUGGUAUUUCUUUCUGAGUCCACCUGACUGACGCCAUCGCUGAAAGACAAACAAGAACACAUGGAGAAUGUGACUUUCAGGGAGUGAAUAAGACUGCAGGCUCCACAAAAGGAGAGACCCCGGGGUGAAUCUGGGGCCUGGAUCGCGUCGUGCACGACAUGAGCAGCCAGUGUGUCGCUAUGGGCAGCAAUAGCGCAUGGAGGCUCUCCACGGUCGGUCGGGACACGCUCAUUCAAAGAAACCCGACAUUGCUUCUCAGAGUUACCCUGAAGGAAGUCAAGGACAAUUCACCAAAGAAACGAUCGAGCUGAGUUCUCAGAUGCACGGUCACGGAGGCUAUGACUCCGAUUUUAGUGAUGAUGAACACUGUGGAGGAUCUAGCAAAAGGAAAAAAAGGACAGUUGAAGAUGCCUUACUGCUCAAAAAGCCAUUUCAGAAAGAAAAACAUGGAAAGGUGGUCCAUAAACAAGUUGCAGCAGAAUUGCUGGACAGGGAAGAAGCAAGAAAUAGAAGGUUUCAUCUCAUAGCUAUGGAUGCUUAUCAAAGGCAUACAAAGUUUGUAAAUGACUAUAUUUUAUAUUACGGUGGCAAAAAAGAAGACUUCAGGCGAUCGGGGGAAAAUGACAAGACAGACAUGGAUGUUAUACGAGAAAAUCAUAGAUUUCUAUGGAAUGAGGAGGAUGAAAUGGACAUGAAUUGGAGGGAGAAGAGACUUGCAAAGAAAUACUAUGAUAAAUUAUUCAAGGAAUAUUGCAUAGCAGAUCUCAGCAGAUACAAAGAAAAUAAGUUUGGAUUUAGGUGGCGAGUAGAAAAAGAAGUGAUUUCAGGAAAAGGCCAGUUUUGCUGUGGAAAUAAAUGUUGUGAGAAAAAAGAAGGCUUAAAGAGUUGGGAAGUUAAUUUUGGUUAUAUUGAGCAUGGUGAAAAGAGAAGUGCGCUUGUUAAAUUAAGAUUAUGUCAAGAAUGCUCCUUCAAAUUAAAUUUCCAUCACAGGAGAAAAGAAGUCAAGUCAAAAAAAAGAAAGGAUAAAACCAAAAAAGAUUGUGAAGAGUCAUCACAUAAAAAAUCCAGAUUAUCUUCUACAGAAGAAGCCUCUAAGAAAAAGGAUAAAGCACAUUCAUCCUCAAUGAAAUCAGAAACUUCUAUUAACAGAAACUCUGAUGAGGAGGAAAGUACUUCAGAAUCUGAACUUUGGAAGGGCCCACUACCAGAAACAGAUGAAAAAUCACAGGAAGAAGAAUUUGAUGAAUAUUUUCAAGAUUUAUUUCUGUGAGAUAAAGAGAGAUGCCUACAUUCUUUAAUGUGAAAGUAUACUUUGAACUUUUCACAAAAGUUUUAUCUACAAGUUGCAACUUGAGUGGUUUCUCUUUGGAAAUAAAAAUCCAGCUACACUCAGGAUGUCAGAUGGUUUGGAAGUUUCCAGUUCUGUUGGAGACACUUUCCCUGUCCCUUAUCUCUUUUCAAUUGCUUAUCUAUGACUGUUUCAUCUGCUCCUAGUGGAUGGUACUAGUACACUAUACAGAGAUCGACUGUCCCUAUAUUUUACGGGGUUUUUUUUUUCCCUGCUGAUUCACGUUUAUCUUCCCUUGCCUCAGUUUAAAUUAUUAGGAUUAUUGUGGUCUCACAAAAUUAUAAAGUAGGUUAAGUAUGUCUUCAGCUUCUUUCCUUUCCUUUGAUACACUAGCAGCCCUCUUUUGAGUACCUAUUUAGCUGCCUUUUUUUCCCUUACACUUCUCUUGCUUCCUUCUCGCCUCUGCCACUUAAGGGAGUUUGUUAUAAUUUGAUUCCCCAGUGUAUGGCUAACUUACAAAGUAAAUUAAUACUACAGGAGGCCGAAUGAGAUCCCAAUAGUCUAAAACAGCAGACAUGUUCACAAAAGUUCAUGCAAUAACGUAAUGUAACUGAACAAUACUGUUUGCAUAGUUUCUCAGAUUCAAGCAUACAGAUGUGGAUACACUUAUAUGCAGAAAUAUAUUAUAAAAUGUAAUGUCUUAACUGGGAUCCGUAACCCCCUCCAAGAGUCAAUUGACAUGCGUCAGGAAAUCUAAACACUCCUAGAAUCUGUGUGUAAACUUCUGUGAUUGUGUUUUGAGGGAAAAGGUCUAUAGUUUUCAUCAAAUUUUCAAAAGGAUUCAUUGAUUUUUUUCGAAAGGUCAGACCCAUUUUUAUAAAGAGCAAAGAGAUGGCUACAGGAGAAGAUACAUGAUUUGGUGAGUAAGAGAGGACCUGUAGAUUCCAAUUAUUUUGUUAAAGAUAUACUAUUUUAAAUGACAUUUUUAACUUGAUUGACGUAAAAUUGCAAAAUAGGUAACUAUAAUCUCAUGUUUUAAAAUAGUAUCAGAUUUUCCUUUUAUUAAACAGUUAUUCAUUAAUUAAACAAAUAUUUAUCAGGCUUCUAUUAUGUGUGGGGCACUGUCUAGGAAACAGUUAUGUAAUCAUUUCUGAACUGUCAGAAAACAGUAAAUCAGUGUUGGUUUAUUAACCAACAAAUAAGUUAACAAUGCUUGUUGUUUUUUUCGGCUCACUACUUUUAGUGGAUAAAAAAGAAUCUUGAUUUCUAAGGAAAAAAUGUUGAAAUGUCCAACAGCAAAACUGAUACUAGUAAUAAAAUAUAUGUUGCUAAAACAUUUUUAUGAUAAAAAUAUAUUUACAGUUUAGUGGUCAUCAGAAAAUUCCUGCAAAAUUAAGCAAUGGCUAGGAAGAAUAUUUAAGGAUCCUUUUAAAACAGAUCCAUAUAUUUGGUGUUGCAGGUAUGGUUUAUGGACUUCAAGUUCAUUUAUAAAUUUAGAUCAUUUUAUCUAAUAACAUUUAAUCCAUUCUUACACAGCGGCAGGUAAUGGGAGUCAUUUUAAUGGAGUCUUUAAGGCUUCAAGAUGAUGACUUUAAAGAUUAGCCCUCCAACAGACCUAUCUCUGGUUUGGGAUAUGAAGUCAUGCUUUCUUAUACUUGCUCUUAAGCAGAGUUCCUACUUUUGCAGACCUUCAGUGCUGGCCCAUCUCUACCCCUCAGUUCAUUUUCUAAUAAGAAGGGGAAGUUGUUUGAGCUGGUAUUUUGGGGUCUGAAAUUACAUAAGGCUAAAGGAACAAAGUUUCUUCAUACAGUUUCUAAAAUAAUCCUAGAAGCAGAGUUUCAGAACUAUUUUAAGCAAUGGAAAUAUGAUGUACAUGUAUCACCCAAGUGAUGACUUACAUAGACAACAUUCAUUUGGGUGUGUAUAUUGAGUUUUUUCCUCCCUAAAAAUACUUUACUUUCAGGCACUCCUCAUUUAUGCCUGUUUGUUAUGACAUUUAUUAAAAAUAUUAUUCAUUCAUGUUUACUGAGUGCCUACCUUGUGCCAGGCCCUACCCUAAGUGUGAGCAUAGAACUGUGAACAAAACAUGACAAAAAUAGACAAAUCUUUCCUCUCAUGGCCUUUACAUUCUAAUGUGAGAGGACCAAUCUCAUGAUUCUAAGUACCUAACUUACUUGUAAAAAUAUAGCAAAUGGUGAUUUAUUUAUCAGCUGCUUAAAAUUGAACACUAUCUUCUGUAUAACAAAACAUCUGGGGUGCAUAGAUUGUCAGUCUAUUAUAAUUUAGAUAUAUUUUAUACGAAAAUCUAUGGUAUUAACAUUUGGUCUGUUUUUCUAAUUUGGUCUGUCAUAUAGAUAAGUAAAGAAAGAAAUUUUAAGUUUCUCUGAUGUUCGGAUAUGUACUGUGUAAGUAGAAGUAGUUGAUCAUCUUUAGUUUCUCUUGACAAGUCAGUGUUUAGAAUGCUUGGUGGAUAGUUCUAGUAAUUUUUUUUUAAAGUAAUCUCUGUUGAAGUCCUAAACUGCUUUUGAUAGUAAAGUUGUCACAUACUCAAAUCACAUGCUUCUUAAUAUUGCAGAAUAUUUAUUAGCUGAGUUAACUUGCAUUAGGAUUAUCCAGGUACUGUCUUAUAAACUGAUAAUUCUUUCAAUGAGAAUAAUAUUUCUGAAUGUAAGAAUAUAUCCUUAGUUACACAUAAAAUUGAUUUCAGACGUGGGGGGAAGUAUUGGCCUAGGAUGGUGACAGUGUUAAGCUGCAAAAGUGGUGUGGUCUUCACUGUUUCAUUAUCAAGGGUAAAAAGUAGAGGAAAGAGAUAAGCAUUUCAGACGGAAAAACAUUUAACAUCCUUUUCCAUUGUUUCUUAUAUAGUAUUUGCUUACAUUAUACAUCAUUCUGUACUGUAUUUACUCUUACAUUAAGACAUGUUGAAGAGAGAUUUUUAGUUCAGGAAGGGAUAUGAGGUGUGAAUCAUGAUUAUUAAUGUUAUGGGUUGAAUUGUGUCCCAUCUAAAAUUUGUAUGUUGAAAUCCUGACCCCAGUACCUCAGAAAGUGGCUGUUAUUUGGAGAUAGGGCAUUGAAAGAGGUAAUUAAGCUAGAAUGAGGUCAUGUGAGUGGGUCCUAAUCCAGUAGGACUGGUGUCCUUGUAAGAAGAGAUUAGGACACAGACAGGAGGGAAGACCCAAGGCCAUGUGAAGACACAGGGAGAAGAUGGCCAUUGACCGGCCAAGGAGAAAGGCCUCAUAGGAAACCAGCCCUGCCAAGACCUUCAUCUUGGACUACCGGUCUCCAGAACCGUGAGAAAAAUGUUGAAUUCACUCAGUUUGGGGUGUUUUGUUAUAGUAGCCCUAAUCAAUGACUACAGUUACUGAGAACUUUAAAAAAAAAAUUGGUGACUAGUUUCAGGACUAUAUUGUUUUUAAUUUAAAACAAAUUGGCACCAAAAAUGCACUUACUUUUGUCUUAUUUUGCACUUUUGUUGAACUUUAUUUUACCCUCAGGGCUUUCAGGCUAGCAAUAUAUUUUCUCAUGAUAGUCACAAGGGUAACUUUUCUGAAGAGUCUCUUACUCUGUUGCUUGAUGGUUUGCUGAAUGAAAUUUGCUGAAGUUCUUUUAAAUGUUUUUUUCUUCAGACUUGGUAAUAUUUGAAAUUGGGACCAGUUGGAUUGCAUUACAACAUUAGACAUGUUUUGGAUUUUUUGUCAUCACCACCACCUCCUGUAUCUUCUGCAGCUAGUAAAAAGGAAAAAAGCAAUAUUAUUGGGAGCCAAUGGAUAUAGUGUUUUUGGUUUAAUACACUCAUGACAUUAGUGUAACUUUAUAGCCUAAUUAAUAGUUUUAACCUAUAACAAGUACUAAAGGUUUGACCAUUUAAAAACUUGAAUUGGUCCAUUUAAAAAAUAAAAUCUAAUAAAUGAUUAGCCAGUUAACAUCUCAGUUUCUCAAGAGAACCACUGAACUAUGGAAUCCAGGAAUCUGAGUUGUUGCUUUGUGCCAGGCACAAAGCUUGUUGCCUGGAGAUAAAAUAAUGUUCUUAGUUCAGAGAGUUCUCACUGUAGCAAGAAAAAAAUUCAGAAGUAAUUUUUUAUGCAAAUAAAAUAUAGCAGACCCAUAUCCAAUACACUGAAUACUAAAGCGCUUGAUAUCCUGUUUACCAUAAAAUUGAGAUAAAGAUUAAAUUUAAUCGUACUGAGAAAUACCUUUGCUUUUCACUUGCUCAGUAAAAAAUGAGCAUUUUGUUAUCUUUUUGAAGUGCAAAUCAGAUCUUAUUUUCUGUUUAAAUCUCUUGAAUGACUCCCCAGUGCUCUCUAGGGGCCUUCAAGACAGCACACCUGGCAGAGCCGCCUGCAUCACCAGUGUCAUUGGUACCUUGCUCUCCUUACUCACUUAGACUCCAGCUUCACCAGUUUUUAAGUUCUUCAGUUGCGCCAAGCUUCUGUCCACUUCAAGGCCUUUGUGUAUAUUCUGUUCUCUCCCUUCCUUUCCAACUCCUCCUUUCUUUGCUUAGGCAAAGCUUACUGUCCUCAGAGUUAAGCGAAGCCCCUUCAGGAAAGCCUUCCCUGAUGCCCAGGUUCAUGCCUCAUGCUUCCUCUGAUAGUCAUAGAAAACCAAUGGUUCAUUUGUUGGUUUAAUGUCUAGCUCCACCAGAUGGUAAACUUUUUGAGAUAAGGGCCCCAUCUUUCCCAAGGGCCUGCGUAAUAACACAAGGCUUUGUACAGAAUACACACCCCAAAAUAUGUAAGUGGAUGGGUGUCAAGGAGCCAGGAAGUCCAUUUUCAUUCUGUUUUAGGAUAUCCUUAACCCUUUAAGCAAAAUGCUUUCUCCUGAGUUCUUUAAAAUAACUCCAAACACAAUAGAACCAGUUAUUUACAAGGCCUUUUCAGAGAGAGACAAUUGGUUUGUUAAACAAUUUCUUACAAAACCUUUUGAAUGCUGAGCUCUCUCGAAGUCAUAUUAGCAUUCCACUUUCUAGAUGACAUCUGAGUCAUUUGAUGAACUAAUAGGUGAUCCUAAGCAUCUUAGCAGAGGCUUUCUAAAGAUUAUGUUAAACCUAGCAGACUGACUUUAGGAGUAGAAGUUUCAUCAGAAAAAACAGCGCUGUGUAGAGACAUCUGAGGCAAAGACAAAGUCCUGGGGUACCUGUUAAGUUGCCCCACUCAGCUGGCCAGCUUUACAUGGAGGGCUUCCUUAGGUCUGAAAGUGAGACUGGAGAUCUGUAAAACCUUCUUAUUGUAUGGAGAGGAACAUUAAGCUCAGAGAGGUUAAGCAAGUUGCCAAAGUCUCACAGCUAAUGCAUUGUGUCGCGACUAAAAUUGUUUUCUCACCUAACCCUGAUCCCACUGAUUCUAUGGUUUUCAUACUAUUUCUGAAAACUCAGUAUCCUGCAGUGGUACCUCAGGAGUCACCUUCUAGAGCGAAUGAGGAAACCUAACCCCUACUUCAACUGGGCCAGUUGCAUCUGGAAUUAUAAAGAAGGAAAGUGUUAUGGCACUCAGAGCUGCUAGGAUGAGAUUAACUCCGCCUUGGAAAUGGGAUAGGUGCUGCCAUCUUUCCUGCCCACCUAAGUAAGUCUAUUUGAUUUGCUCAUGUCCAAGUUCUCUCACCUUUCAUUCCACCCCUGAAUGAGAUUAGGGUAAUACCUCACACUUCUUUGCAGAAGCAAGGACACCACUAAUGGUUUUCCUCGUGGGUGACUUUGAUUUUGGUUACAGUUUGAAAGAAAAAUUCCCAUCCAGAAGAUUAUAUGUUUCACUUAAAUUAUCAGUUUGUGUACUUACCUUAUAUACAAAAGUACAGACAAAAUCAAUGAAUCCAACUUGAAGUUUAGGUAGUUCAUCUUUUUUGUUUCUGUCCAUCAUAGGCUAGAAAGAGAAAUAAAUUCUUUAAAGAUAGUUUUCUAAGAUUGAAUGAACAAAAUAGACUGAUUUGUAUUGGUAAUUCUUAAUAAGUAGUGUAUUUUUAUGUCAGGGUCUUUACGAUAGGUUGUUGCUGCAGCACUGUUCUCUCCAGAUCUCCUUGUUCCCAAAAUUCAUUUGCAACCAGAAGUGCUACCUGCAGAUAAGAAAGACGGGGUUCAUGAGGGUGAGUUUUUAGUAGGGCAUUUGCAUUUUAUUAGUAUGAGUGACAUUUAAGGAUGGAAUUUGUAAUUAAUGCCUGAGGUGUUGUCAUACCAUAUGCUCUUUGGUUUUAAAAAGAUGUCACUUACAGAUUAUGUUGAAAUGGGAAGGGGGAUUUCUCUUCCUACUUCAGUGUAGUAGACUCAUUCUGGGAGUGCCUGUCUCCUGUUUGCUGUCGCCACUACCUCUCAACAGUGAAAAGGAGAGAUGGGAGCAUGUCUCAGUCCACUGCCUUAUGCUUCAGGCUCAAACUUCCCAAGUCCUCCUCUUGCCCUGCUUACCUCUUAGCAUCUAGCGUGUAUCUGCAUGAGUAUUUGUGCACACACGUGCAUGCACACACAUACAGAUUAGAAUGCAAACUUACCUGAUCCUGAUGAUGGUGUGAGGAUAUUUGAGUUAGUUUAUAUAGUUUUUUAAAAAAGUAUCUAUCAAGGUUAUUGAACUAACCUGGCUAGCUGCCUGAUGCCAGGCUUGCCAAGAGGAGUAAAAUGUGACCUUUUUCUUGGAGAUGCUCACAGUCUGGUGAAGACAGUCAUGUAAACAAUGUACUAAGUGCUACAACAGUAAUAGCAUGAGCUGCUGUGGAUCAGUGGGAAGGGAGUGAAGACAAAUGUCAUAAAGGAGGCUGCACUUAUGCUGUAGCAUCAAGGAUGAAUAGCAGUUUGCCAGGAAAGAGGAGGGGAAGACUGCAGAGAUAAAAUGGAACAUCCAGAGCUUAUGUCAGUCGGAGCUUAGAGUGUGAGGCAGUGACACGGGAGUGAAGAGAAGCUGGGAAGUGUGAGUUAAGGCAGAUAGUGACAGGCCAUGUGAGCUUUGCUGAGAAGUUUGACUUGAUUCUCUGGACCAGUGGUUCUAUUCCUUGAGCCCUAGGCUCCCUCCAGGGUGCACUAGUGGCACAAAAAGGUGGGUGCCAAGAGAGAUUUAAACUAAAGCAACUGCUUUUUUCUUUUAUACAAAAGUGAUUUUGUGCAACUUUUUGUGGGGGGAAAAUAGACUAUGCUUCUUUCUUUAAAAAAAGUUGAAAACCUCCGUCAGUGGGGAGUUUAGAAGGCUUUUACGCAAUGCAGUGGCCAAACAAAGCUAUUAUAAGCAGUCCCAGCAGCAGCUCAGAGGAAGGUUGGGGGGUGAGUGAUGAGAGGACCACUUAGGACGUGCCGCCUGGUUCUGAUGAGAGAGGGAAAGUCCGAACUAAGACGGCAGCAAGAGCGACAGACGUGAGUAGUUGUGAAGUGGGGGAGAUGGCCUCAAGCGUGAGGACCCUGGGUGACUGUGUAGAUGAAGAACUGAGGAGGAAGAGAGGCAUGUCAGCAGGGAGGGGCACAAGUAUUUUUGGUUUAGACUUGAUGGUUCCAAUUUACGAUACAAUCCACAUUUAUAGUUGAACCCAGUGAGGUCUGGCCUCUCUUCUGCUUAGAAUUUUCCCUACGAAUUAACAGGAAAAAAGAGAAGCUUCUUUCAUCCAUUAGUAGUAAAUCAUGUGGUAAACUAAUGGCUCCCUGCUCUCACUCCCCAGGGUUGGGGAAGAACUUCCUUGGAAGACACCCUUAAACAUAAACUCAGACAGUGCCUUCUAAUAACUGACAGCACACAGAAGAAAAGAUUGUAGAAGCAAAACCACCCUUGAUAGAGGAAGGCACAAAUGAUUCAUCCUCAUCGUGUGCUCAUUUAUCCCCUCUAUUAAAAAUGCAGACACUCUGAAUAAUUUUAUAUAAACUUUUCACAGCCUUCCAAUGAUACAGGAGUUCUUUUCAGAAAGCAUUUUCUUUCUAAGGCUCCCUCUAUUUGCCUUGUUCUGGGACCUGCACCCAAUGACCUAUUGUUUUACUGGCAUUUGUGAGCUCUUGAAAGCUGUUUGCUUUUCUUCAUUAACAGAAACCCAACAGGGAACAUUGUACUUUUGUAUUAACUUCUUGAGUUCCUUUUUUCUUCUUUGUAAAUUAUAAACCGAUUGUUUCAGAGGACAAGUCCAGGGUAAUGGAAGAUUAAUUCCUUUUAAAAUGUAGUCAUAUACAGUCAUGUAAUUGAUGGCUAUAAUAAAAUUCUGAGGUUGCCA